rnacentral:sRNA from 1 species
AGAAAAUGACAUUUGUAAUAGGAAUUUUAAGAUUUUAUUACUUCUUCUUUCAUCUCCUCAAAGGAAUGAAGAAAUGGUGGUGGGCAGAUCUUCCUUUCCCAUGCAGUAUUUUCCAAUUAAUAAUACUUCUUUACCUCAAGAAUAUUUUCUCUUUCAGAAGAUGCAGUGGCAUGUGUAUAAUCCAGUGCUGCAACUUCCUUACUAUGAAAUGACAGCUCCACUUCCUAAUAGUGCAUCCGUGUCUUCCUCACUGAAUCAUGUUCCAGAUCUUGAGGCUGGACCCAGCUCAUAUAAAUGGACUCACCAACAACCAAGUGACUCUGACCUUUAUCAGAUGACAGCUCCACUUCCUAAUAGUGCAUCCGUGUCUUCCUCACUGAAUCAUGUUCCAGAUCUUGAGGCUGGACCCAGCUCAUAUAAAUGGACUCACCAACAACCAAGUGACUCUGACCUUUAUCAGAUGAAUAAACGAAAGAGACAAAAGCAAACAAGUGAUAGUGAUAGUAGCACAGACAACAACAGAGGCAACGAAUGUAGCCAAAAGUUCCGAAAGUCUAAGAAAAAGAAAAGAUACUAGUAUUACCUACACUGAUCUUAGUUCUCUUAUGAAAAAAAUAAGAUGUUAUUCCAUCAAAUAAACAAUGUCAUGGC